rnacentral:rRNA from 1 species
UACGGGGGGGGCAAGCGUUGUUCGGAAUUACUGGGCGUAAAGGGCUCGUAGGCGGCCAACUAAGUCAUACGUGAAAUCCCUCGGCUUAACCGGGGAACUGCGUCUGAUACUGUCGGGCUAGAGUCCGGAAGAGGCGAGUGGAAUUCCCGGUGUAGCGGUGAAAUGCGCAGAUAUCGGGAGGAACACCAAUGGCGAAGGCAGCUCGCUGGGACGGUACUGACGCUGAGACGCGAAAGCGUGGGGAGCAAACAGG